ACACCAACCAGACUAUUCGGUCCGUUCAUAUGAUUAUUCAUCAUCAUCUCUUGUAAGAUCUUUUGCACUGAGGAUUGUGUAUCACUAGGAUCAGCAUCUCCAGAUAAGGCGGGUUGUUGCAUAGAGAUAUUUGCCGGAGAAUUGGCAGCACUCAUUUGAUUGGCAUUCUUUGCAGCUGCAUGCGAUGGUUGUGAAAGAUUGUUAGAUGAUGAGGGAGUCGG
rnacentral:misc_RNA from 1 species